rnacentral:rRNA from 1 species
UACGGGGGGGGCAAGCGUUGUUCGGAAUUACUGGGCGUAAAGGGCUCGUAGGCGGCCAACUAAGUCGGACGUGAAAUCCCUCAGCUUAACUGGGGAACUGCGUCUGAUACUGGAUGGCUUGGAUUCGGGAGAGGGAUGCGGAAUUCCAGGUGUAGCGGUGAAAUGCGUAGAUAUCUGGAGGAACACCGGUGGCGAAGGCGGCAUCCUGGACCGAUAUUGACGCUGAGGAGCGAAAGCCAGGGGAGCAAACGGGG